GUGCCAGCAGCCGCGGUAACACCAGCUGCACAAGUGUAUAUUAAAGUUGUUGCAGUUAAAAAGCUCGUAGUUGGAUAUCUGUCUUAACUGACCUGGCCUUAGGUCCUUCGGGAUUCUUAUGUGCCGGUUGUGGCGACCACUACUAUGUGGUGUGUUGCCCGUCAUGUUGGACAUACUUCAGGAGAACUAUCCUGCCAUUUAUUGGUUGGGGUAAGGAUCCUGAUCGUUUACUUCGAAAAAUUAGAGUGUUUAACGCAGGCUUUUAGUGUCGCGAAUAGAUUAGCAUGGAAUAAUAAGAUAGGACUUCGGCAUCGUUAGUGGGUACCUUUGAGUGUGCCCUGCUCGUGGUCUUUGACUGCGUUGCUUGGUGCUUUCUUUUGGAAUCAUAUCUGCUAGCCAUUCUAUUUUGUUGGUUUCUAGAGCUGAAGUAAUGAUUGAUAGGGAUAGUUGGGGGAUGCUCGUAUUGCCGGGCCAGAGGUGAAAUUCUCGGGUUCUGGUAAGACGAACUUAUGCGAAAGCAUUCACC
rnacentral:rRNA from 1 species